rnacentral:lncRNA from 1 species
UUUGACCUUGUAUUCCCCUGUUUGAGUCAAAGCUCUAUAUUAUUAUCUUUCUCUGCCUUCUGUAAACUUUCCUCUAAAGCAUAGAUAUAUACACAGUUGGUUUGCACGCACAAAUUUACAAAAACCGGGUUAACCAAAGGUUAUAAACAUUCGAUAUAUGUUAAUUUAUAUAGCAAGGAUAGGAAAGUUAUAUUUAAAUUAUAAUUACAAUGGUAAAUUUACUAAAGUAGUGGAAAAAGAUCACACGAAAUUAGGAGGUGGUUAUCUGAGAUUUAUGGAAAAAAAAUAAAAAAGAAAACAUUUAAUUAAAAC